UUCACCAGGCAGAGGCCCUGUCCGUCUGGUCUGCAGGCGCUCACUCCAUCAGUGACCCAGGAGUCAGUGCCUAACUCUGUCCACCCCCCACUUCCCUAUCCUGGGCCAGGCGUCUCUAGGAGCCCGAGGGCCUUCCAGCAUGAGGGUGGGUUGUAGAAUAAAUACCCACCUGAACAGCCUGUGCUCACUGUGUGGAGGGGGAAGGUACCUUCCGGAGGAGAGGAUGCCUGCAGGAGAUGCUUUGGGGCUGGGCCUUGAAAAAAUGGAUUUUCUCCAGGCAGAGAAGGAGCAGUAGCGAAUUCCAGGAAGAGCUCCUCUGCCUAUCCGUUUAUUGAGCACUUGCUGUGUGCCAGGCUCUGCAAGAAACGGCUCUGUCCCCACACGGCCUAGUGAGGGAGACAAAUGCCGAAUUGAACAACCCGCAGGGAAAUGUGGUGUUGGCGAAACAAAACACACUCUGGCGGGACCUCGAAGGAGGGAGGACGGGAUACAGGAUUUGGGAAUAACCAGGAGGUGCUCCAGGCAUGCUUGUUGACCGACUUAACAAACUUUGAGGUUUUUCCUACCAAGAUGGGAGCAAGGAGGUGCGAUGUCCCAGGAGCUCGCAGUCUGCUGCUGGUGGCAAGGGGAGUCCGAGUCCCAGCUGCGGGAGUUUGCUCGUGCAGGGCCAGGCUGGGGGCUGUUCAGGCCCCAUCUCCUUAAAGGACAGCUCCAGGCUCUGCCGUUUUACAGAUGCGAAUACUGAGGCCGGAGGGGGCGAGCGGGGUCUGCCCUCCUCGGUGCAGGUUGCCGGCCUCCUCCAGAACCUGUCUCAGCCCUCUCCCUCGGGAGGGCCCCUUCACCCCAACCGCCCCCUCCCCAGCACGCUGCCCCCCACA